UACAGGGGGUGCAAACGUUGCUCGGAAUCAUUGGGCGUAAAGCGCACGUAGGCGGUCUGUUAUGUCGGAUGUGAAAGCCCUUGGCUCAACUGAGGAAGUGCAUCCGAAACUGGCAGGCUAGAGUACUAAAGAGGGUCGCGGAAUUCCCGGUGUAGAGGUGAAAUUCGUAGAUAUCGGGAGGAACACCGGUGGCGAAGGCGGCGACCUGGGUAGAUACGUGACGCUGAGGAGCGAAAGCGUGGGGAGCGAACAGG
rnacentral:rRNA from 1 species